rnacentral:lncRNA from 1 species
CAUUAUUGGUUUUAAGUCAGAAAAUGAAUGAAAUUUUUCUUAAUUCAGGAAGUCCUCUCAAAUUCUCAUUGAUACCCCAGGAUAAUCAGAGCAUGAGCUAGAGAAUCAGUCUGCCUAGAUUGGAUUGUUUUAAUAUUUGAUAGCUGUGUAGUCAUGGACUAACUGGAAUGCUUAGAGUGGAGGAGAUGCGAAUCUUGUCUUCAUGGGCUCCUCUCUUCUCUCUUGACCAUAUAAAGUCCUCUAUUUGCUUAUUCUGUACAUGUUGGAUGAGUGGACUCAAUCAAUACGUGAUCUUUUGAGACUGAUUUUUUUCUACUUAACAUAAUGUUUUCCAGAUUCAUCUCUGCUUUUGUAUGUAUCGAAAAAGAAAAAAAAGGAGCUUGGUGGAACAUUUUCUCUCUGAAGAAUUUUGAACUCUUUACAGAUGAUUGGCAUAGUACUCAGUUUCCUGAUAUCUUUUUUAAGAUUUCCUCCCUGAGGAAACUGUCUCACAGAGGAAGAAUGAAGCUUCUGACCACAUCCUGAUGUCCUGGAGUGUGGUUGAGCAGCCUUUUUCAGGUCUCAGGAAAAGGCGAGGAAGAUUUAAAUGGAUAUUCGGGACCAUGCUUUCAAUAACACCUUGAAGAGACUUUCCCCAAAUAGCUAUUGUCAAAGAGAACCCACUGAGAGCUGUGUUAAAGGAGGGGAGUGUGAAGCAAUUUAUAUCAAUGAAAAAAAUUUAAACUAUUGAAAUCACUGUAUUGUUCAUCAACCAGAGGAGACUGUUAUUUUGAAGGCCUCUUCCAGAGACUGAACUGCCAUUUGGCUGAAUUGUCUUGGGCUCACUGUGAGUGGAUCUCUGCCUGUAAAAUGAAAUCUCUUUGUUUCUUGUAGUUAUAAAUUUUUGUUCUUUCAUGAUAAAUCUAGCCCAAAGACAUUUCUUUACAGUAAAUUUGUCCGAAGUGCUCGUAAACAGUAUCUGCUUCCAUUACCUGUGGUAGAACCCAGUUUGAGCAUUUUGUAAAGUAAGCAUAUGCACUGAGAAUCAAUAUGUAUUUUAUUAGCAGCAAGAGACUCAUUGGAUUGAUUUUUUUUCUUUUUACCUUUAUGGGCAAUUGCUAUAAAAAGGUAAAUUAAAAAGUUAACCAUCUGCUGCCUCACUUUUCAUUUAAAGUCUUUUAUUUGAUUACUCUUUUCAGGUAAUCAAUGCUUUCUAUUUUGCUAUUAUGCUCUCUGGUGAAUGAAGGUGGUUUUAAUUUAUAGCUUUUAUUUAUCUAACAGUAUUGUCAGAGUCACAAUCUUUAUGCAGCCUAUUAGUAGUGUGAAAAAUAUUUCUUACUACAUCGAAACAGAACAAAAUUCAAUUUAGAAAUAUAAUUU